rnacentral:tRNA from 1 species
CGGGGCAUAGUGUAACGGUAGCACGAGUCCAUGGGGUGGAUUUAUUUGGGGUUCGAAUCCCCAUGCCCCGA